rfam:Triticum urartu cultivar G1812 contig1107010, whole genome shotgun sequence.
AAUAUACUCCCUCCGUUCGGAAUUACUUGUCUCGAAUAUGGAUGUAUGUAGAACUAAAAUACAUCUAGAUACAUCCAUUUCUGCGACAAGUAAUUCCGAACGGAGGGAGUAUUUA